CUGGUUAUGUGGGUGCACGAACAACAAGAAGAACCCAUAGUUGGAGCGGGUUACAGUUGGUCGACGGACGACUCGGCUUAUCACUAGAAAUUAAGACAAAAGCCGGGCUGCUUCUACUGAUGCUGCUGCUGCUGCUGCUGUUGCUGUUGCUGUUGCAGCAUAACGAAAAUUAAAUGAGACCACAAAAUAAAACAAGCAGCAGAAGAGGCAGUAACUGAAAGAGGAAGACGAUAAAGAACAGACUUCCCGUUGUAAAGCAGUUACGUCUUCAUCUCUCGCUCACAUUCUGGGAAAAUAAAAUUAGCUUGAAGGCCUUCGCAAUAAAAAUAAAGGCAUUUAAUGAGAUGACAAACUAAGAUGCUGUUCGCGAAAUCCAUUCAGAGCUUCUGGUUCACUACAUGCCAACCUACUCAGUGAUCCUAUGCGUGGGAACGAACUGAUUCCAUGUGCACGGCCACCCAAUGAAUUUUGUUGCAUUUCACUCGAAAAGGAGCUCGUGGGAACAGAGAAGAGCAAGAGCGAGCAUUGUGGAACUUGUGCCAACAAAUUGACGUUUCUUUGGCUACAAAUUGGCGUGGCCCGCGUUUCACACCGUCUCCAAUACGUUUAUUGUUGUUGUUUUCGUUUUUGUGUUGCCUUUAAAUGAUUUUCCAUUUGCACAUUUCACACAGCUAAAUGUUUGCCUUUCAUUUCGUUGUUGUUGUUGUUACUGCCAGUGGCAAAAAUUUUCAUUCAUAAAAAAAGGUGAACGAUUGUGGGCGUCUCGAGUGCCGAGCAUUGAGCGCGAAAAACAAUAAAAGGCGAGGAAGAAGAAGAAGAAGAAAAAAGAAGAAGCAGCAGCAACGGCAACGGCAAUGGCCUAGGCAGACGAACAGGCGUAGAAAUCGUCGAGCGAAAGGGGGCGAUUGUAAGAAAAGGGGUGUCGCACGCAAAAGAGCGAGAGAGGGGAUCAGGAAAAGACAGACAGAAGAGCCAAGAAAGAAUACGGACAAAGUUUUGCACAAGUUUGUCGCCAUUGUUGUUGUUGUUGUUAUUGUUGUCGCCUCUUUUACGUUUGUAUUUAUUUAUACUUAUUAAUACAACACACAUGUACAGCUAUCUGUGUGUGUGUGUGUGUGUGUGUGCGUAUUUUUAUUUAUUUUCUUUUUAUUCAACGCGCGCCUUACAAAAAAGAAAAACGGAAAUUUUGGUUUCCAAAUAUUUGUUACAUUUUUUUUUUUUUUUUUUUUUUUUUUUU